CCUACGGGUGGCAGCAGUGAGGAAUAUUGGUCAAUGGAGGCAACUCUGAACCAGCCAAGUAGCGUGCAGGAUGACGGUCCUAUGGGUCGUAAACUGCUUUUAUGCGGGGAUAAACUGAGUCACGUGUGGCCGAUUGCAGGUACCGCAUGAAUAAGGAUCGGCUAACUCCGUGCCAGCAGCCGCGGUAAUACGGAGGGUGCGGGCGUUAUCCGGAUUUAUUGGGUUUAAAGGGAGCGCAGGCCGCCCCUUAAGCGUGUUGUGAAAUGCCGCGGCUCAACCGUGGCACUGCAGUGCAAACUGGCGGGCUUGAGUGGGCCAGAAGUAGGCGGAAUUCGUGGUGUAGCGGUGAAAUGCUUAGAUAUCGCGAAGAACUCCGAUUGCGAAGGCAGCAUGCCGUAGCGUUACUGACGCUGAGGCUCGAAAGUGCGGGUAUCGAACAGGAUUAGAUACCCCGGUAGUC
rnacentral:rRNA from 1 species